CCGGGAGCCACCCCAGCCCCGUGUGUGACUCUCAGAUCCCGAGGCUGGGCUCCUCCCCAGGGAGGCUGCAUGGCUGUGGCACAUACAGGAGGAGGCCCUAAAACCCCAUUGGUCUCAUGUCCAGCACUGAAUCAGGUUCAGCUCGUGGAAGACAUUCAGGAUCCGGUCUCGAGACUUCUGGGCCGACCGUCUCAUGAGGACCCUGCUGAGGAACUUCCUGUCGAAGUGGGACCACCUGUAGGGACAGAUCUCGGGUGUGAGCCUCAGGUGACAGGUGCCCUAGAGCCCACCGGACAUGUGGCCCGGCCCCUUCUCUCCUGAAUUUCAUUUGCUAUAGCGACUCUGCAGGCAUGUUUAAAAUGAGGGAAGCAGCCCCUGCCGCACGCCCAGGCCGUCCGCCGUUUUCACGCCUGUCCUGUUGGAUGGAGGCUGUUAGAUGCAUUUGAAACUGCAUGCCGCCUCCUCCAGAGGGUGGCUCAGGACAGGCCUAACAGAAUUAGAGUAUUCGCUGGUUAUCCGGAUCAGAAGGGACGGUGGCCCGGACGAACUUAGCAGAAACUCUGGGGCACAAGGAGGUGAUGCCUCUCACUCUUGGACAUGGGUGCAGCCGCCAGAGCCGCCCCCCGGGGCAGAGGGUGGGCCCGGGUGAGCUUGUGUACUCAUACCUGGGCAGGCCCCGCGGCAGCAAUGGCAGCUCUCCUGUACAGGCUGAGUUUCAGCCACACCAAGAAGUCAAAGCUAACUGAGGCCGUGCCUUCGGAGACCCCCGGGAUGGCCCCUGGGAGGCCAAGG
rnacentral:antisense_RNA from 1 species